UCUAGGGCUUUUGGGGCUAGAUUUCUUGGAUUAGAACCUUCCUUGGGCUUGGAUUGAAUGGAUUCUAGCUCUCCUUUGGAGCUUCGGAGAGGAUUUCUACUCUUGAGGUGAGUUUUGACCCUUUUGCUUCUAGGUUAAUGUUUGAUCCUAUAGUUGAUCGUAAUGCCAGUGUAUCUCUUCGCUCAAUACUUUUAGGGUAUUUUGAGGCUCGUGGACAACUACGUUCGGCAAAUCGAAGGAGCACGCGACGGUUCAGUGGGUUUGACCUAGCCACACAAUGAGAAAAUCUCAUUGUUGAUGAUUUAAGUGUUAUAAAAUGAAAAAGCAUGCAUAUUCUUGUUAUAUGUAUUUAUUGUGAAUUUUAGAAUGCUUAAAAUGCCUAUGUAGCAUAUAGUAAAAUUUUGGGCCUCUAUGUAGUAGAUAGCAUGCAUGUGUGAUAUAGCAUUCUGGUUGAGAUUUGAAACUAAUAUCCCUAUUUUGAAAAUGAACCUUGCUUUCAUGCAUUUAGCUUAUUUUCCAAUUGUGACAUUAGGGAUUUUUGGAAGCCUAGAGAGGCUUGAGGACUUAGACUAUUUGAGAGAUUGGGCCAAUGUCAUAAAGAGGCAUUGGGCCCGGGCUAAAGUAAACCUUGCUAGUAUUGUUUUAAUUGGAAUAUGGAACAUGAAUUGGGCAUGAUUAGUUGUGAUGCUUAAGUGUCAUAAAGAGGCACUAAGCAAGUGUGUGCGUUGGAGCGUCACUUUGAGACUUUGGACUAGAUCCUUGGGAUGCUAGUGACCUUGCCAUGUGAGAGGCAUGAGAGUAGAGUACUUGAGACUUUGACCUUGCUUGUUUGCCAUUUGUGCUCAUUCGCACAUGCUUGUGAGGGUCGCUCCCUACAAGCCGGCACUCCGGAGUUAGCCUACGCGACUUAUGUUCGCUCGUGCGGUAUUGAGAAGCCUACGGGGUCGAGUGGGACAGACACAUUCCAAGAGUAGGGAUGUUGGGCUACCACAGGCACUUAGGCGGCACAAGCUGGACUACCUUUGGUAGGUCCUUAAUUGGAAAUGGAAAUCGACACGGGAUGAGUUUGUUAUAAUCACUACUAAAUAGAGAGUAGUAGUUGGAUUACUCGAACUUGCUUCUAGGAUAGAUUUGGACUUUGUGUAUACAUACAUACAUGUAGUAUGCUAGGAGACAUUGCUUAUUUGCAUUCAUAUAUACAAUGUUGCUAUGAUAAAGGAUUAUCCUCAUAAUUUCAUUAAGCAACCAUGACAUUAUUUAUGGCUAAGUAGAGACAUAUCCUUCAUGACAAGAUAAUUGUGCAUUACAUAAAUGCCAUGUUUAAUUGCAAGUAAUAGUUUAGCAUUUUCAUUAUGCUUUCAUAAAUGCAAAUUACUCGUUAUUACUAUUGCUUUCGACUUACCCUUUUCUUUUGGAGCCUAGUGGUGCAUUGAGCUGAGGUGAGUAAUUGCCCACUGGGAACUAUAAAUUAUAGUUCUCACACCCUCGUUUUCUUGAUAUUUUCAGAGCCUUCCACGCCGGGAGAGGCUAGGGACCCCGGGAAGGGAGUUGCUUCGAGCUAGCCUCCUUCGAGGACGAUUCGAUAGGUGGUCUACCUCUCGACGUUUUAUUUUGUGAGAGGUUGAGAGUUUACCCGUGUACUAGAGACCACCAUUUUUUUACUAGACACUGAUAUCGUAUUACUUAUAUUUUCUUUUAUGGUUUAGCUAUGUUUCUUCUACUCUGGUUUAGAUGAUAGAACUUUACUCGCUCUGAUAUCACUAGUUGCUAUUCAUUCUAUUGGUUCUAUCUCUCGCUUUAUUUCCGCUGUUGUUGUAGACGCCUUAUAUGUGUAGACAUAUGGCGCGUCUUGGCGUGCUACUGGGAGGGCCUCCGUCGGUCCCGGGGCAUGACAGAUUAAUUUGGUAUCAGAGCCUAGGGUUGAGUCUCAGUGGACCUUGCAAACCUUAGGCCAGUUGGACUAUAGGAUUAGGCUCGUGAGAGACGAGAUCUAAUUGACUUGUGAGCGAAAGUAUUUCGAUUAGGUUUAUGAUAACUCUAAAAAGUUAGAGUUCGAUCGGAGUGUAUGGCUUCUAACUUCGCGGAGGGUUACGUUGGCGGCCGACAACGUAACAUCGGGAGUUAGUAGUGAAGGACAUUUCCUUACUUUCGCAUGAUUUGGGGUUUUAUCUUCUUGAGCGGGGAUGCGAUAGCGUGUGUUAUUAACUUGCGCUUUUUUGUUUUGUAGUGACGAUGCCGGUUACACGCUCCCAGUCUGCCGGGGCGGAUGAUGCGGCACACCCCGAGGAGGUCGAGACCUCCGCUACUUCCGGAUCCAGUGAGGUCCGUGACUUGAGGGCCCAGCUUGCGGUUCUCACCGAUCUGUUGGCGCAGCAGACGGCAGCGGCGCAGCGACAGGCUGAGGUGGCUCAGCGGCAGGAGUGGCGGAUGAAGCAUCUUGAGGACCUCCUACUUCAGCAGGCGGCAGCUUCGAGGGAGACCCAGGGUCCCACACCACCAGCACCCGUGGUGGACGUUGCACCGAGGGCGCAGUCCCCCACGCCCAGUUCUUCACGUGCGGCACCGGCGACCGCACCUCGGGAGGAAGUGGCUGCGGCACUACCAGUCCAGAGACCGGCGACAGGGGCGGCAUUCCCAGUGAUGGUUGAGGGAGCCGAGCGGGAUCGGCUCAUGGAUCGCCUCAGUGAGUUUAGGAGGUGCAGCCCGAGGACGUUUGAUGGCGAGAACGUCGACCACUGGGUUGUUGAGAAGUGGUUGAUGCAUAUGGAGAAACUUUUUCGAGACACCUUUGUGGAUGAGCGGGACAGAGUGUGGCUCGCCACUCACUUUCUGGAUGGCGAGGCCUAUCCUUGGUGGUUGGACAUCCAGGACAACCCCAACACCGACUAGGCAGCGAUCACUUGGACGCGAUUCAAGGAGCUUCUUCUGGCGCACCACUUUCCGACCAGCGUUAAGAGGAAGAUGGAGCAGGAUUUGCGCAGCUUGCGCCAGGGCGAGCGGUCAGUGGCCGAGUAUGAGAGGGAGUUCUUCCGGAUACUACACCGUGUACCGUUUGUUGUGAGGGAUGACAAGGAUAAGGCCCGCAUCUUUGAGCGCAGAUUGCGGCCUUCUAUCUUCCGGUUGGUGCAGUCCUCUAACCUCCAAACCUACAGGGAGGUUGUGCACUGUGCACUCAUUGUGGAGGCUAGAGCGGCAGACCUUCAGGAGCGACGCAAGGCCCUAGACAAGGGCAAGGGCAAGAGGCCCGCGGCUGAGGGUGCGAGCCAGACGCACUCACGGAGGCCACCGAGGCAUCCCAAGAGCCGGAGCCAGUCGCGAGGACGUGGCCAGUCUACUCAGCGAGGAGGACCCGAUCGUCGUCAGGCUCCCCGCUGCGUGAUCUGUGGUGGUCCCCAUUACCCCCGACAGUGUUCACGCAGCCGGGGCAGGUGCUUCUUAUGUGGCCAGGAGGGCCACUUCCAGUCGGACUGCCCGAGGAGUCCAUUGCCAGCGCCAUCUUCGGCAUCUGCGCCAGCAUCGCCAGGUCCCAGUCAGGGGACAUCUUCUGCGCAUCAUCAGGCAGGACGGCCACCUGUUCAGCGACAGGCGGAGGGGUCACGACAGGCCCCGAGCGGGCGUAUGUAUGCGGCCCAGACUGAGGAGGCGGCGGCAGCCGAGAAUGUGGUCGUAGGUAUCAUUUUACUUUAUGGUAUACAUUUCGAUCAGUUGGAAGAUAUAGAGCCCUUUGAUAAGUAUGGUGUUGAUCGUGGUCGCGGUCGUAGUUGGGGACAUAUACAUGGACGUGGUCGAGGGAGAGCGACUAGGAGGAGGACGUGGAAAUUACAUUUGAAAAUUUUAAACUGUACGAAACUCUUUAUAUUAUUAAUAAAACUUAUGUUAUUGCGAUAAUAUGGUAUUGAUGUUGUGUUGUUUUGUUAGAUUUGUUAUUCGAUAUUGUGUUGUUCUGUUUGAUGCUGUGUUGAAUUAAUUGUUUUAAACGAAACAAGCUACUGCUGGGUAGUUUCUACUAAACACGGUGAAUAGUUCACCAUGUCUAAACAUAGGAAUCCACUCACCGUGUUCGAACGUGAAUAGCACCCUUUACUCCAAAGCCCAGCCCCACAAUGUGCUCGCCACUCACUUUCUGGACGGCGAGGCCUACCGUUGGUGGUUGGAUAUUCAGGACAACCCCAAUACCAACCUGGCAGCGAUUACUUGGACGAGGUUCAAGGAGUUUCUACUGGCGCACCAGUUUUCUACCAGCGUUAAGAGGAAGAUGGAGCAGGAUUUGCGCAGUUUGCGCUAGGACGAGCGGUCAGUGGCUGAGUACGAGAGGGAGUUCUCCCGGAUACUUCAUUUUGUGCCUUUUGUGGUGCGGGAUGAUGAGGAUAAGGCCCGCAUUUUAGAGCGCGGUUUGCGGCCUUCUAUCUUCCGGUUGGUGCAGUCUUCCAACCUCCAGACCUAUCGGGAGGUUGUGGAUCGAGCUUUGAUAGUGGAGGCAGGAGCAGCAAAUUUGCAGGAGCGUUGCGAGAGCUCGAAGAAAGGGAAGGGGAAGGGGCCCGCGGCUGAGGGUGCGAGUCAGACGCACUCACGGAGGCCGCCGAGGCACCCCAGGAGCCGGAGCCAGUCGCGAGGACGUGGCCAGUCUACCCAGCGAGGAGGACCCGACCGUCGCCGGGCUCCCCACUGCGUGAUCUGGGUGGUCCCCAUUACCCACGACAGUGUUCCCGCAGCCGGGGCACGUGUUUUUUGUGUGGCCAGGAGGGCCACUUCCAGUCGGACUGUCCGUGGAGUCCAGCGCCAGCGCCAUCUUCGGCAUCUGUACUAGCAUCGCCAGGUCCCAGUCAGGGGACGUCUUCUGCGCAUCACCAGGCCGGUCGGCCACCUGUCGAGCGGCAGACGGAGGGGUCACGACAGGCUCCGAGCGGGCGCAUAUAUGCGGCCCAGACUGAGGAGGCGGCGGCAGCCGAGAAUGUGGUCGCAGGUAUCAUUUUACUUUAUGGUAUUCGAGUUAGAGGUUUAUUUGGUACCGGUGCAUCGCAUUCAUUUAUAGACCGGCUGUUUGCCGAGUUGUAUGGCAUCCCACUUGUAUCCUUAUUGCAUCCGAGACGAGUUGUUGUACCCGAUCACUCUUUGGACAUUCGAGAGUUUUGCCCCAGCUGCCCUAUUCGGGUUGGAGAUUGGAUCAUGCCCAUAGACUUGCUAGCCUUGCAUAAACUUGGGGAGUUUGAUGUUGUGUUGGGCAUGGAUUGGUUGACUAAGUACUUCGCCACUAUCGAUUGUAAUGAUCGAACGGUGACUUUUAGAGAGCCAGGGCAGGCGGAGGUUGUGUAUCGAGGAUGAUAGAGUUCGCUAUUUGCGAUGACUAUUAGCUCCUCUCGAGCUAGGCAGUUGAUUAGUAGAGGCUGCGUAGCCUACUUGGCUACUGUUGUGUUGCGGGGUGAGGAUGACGCCCCUAGAAUUGAGGAUAUUCCCGUAGUACGGGAGUUUGAAGACGUGUUCCUUGCGGAGCUUCCAGGCAUGCCUCCUGAUAGGGAGAUUAAGUUUGUGGUAGAUCUCGUUCCCGGGACUACUCCAAUCUCAAAGGCACCCUAUAGGAUGGCACCAGCGGAAUUGAAGGAGCUGAAGGCACAGUUACAGAAUCUUCUGGAUAAAGGUUUUGUGCGACCGAGUGUGUCACCUUGGGGAGCACCGGUCCUAUUCGUCAAGAAGAAGGAUGGAUCGCUUCGUUUGUGUGUGGACUAUCGGGAACUUACCAAAGUCACGAUCAAGAACAAGUAUCCAUUGCCGAGGAUUGAUGAUCUAUUUGACCAGCUCCAGGGAUCUUGUGUAUAUUCCAAGAUUGACUUGCAGUCGGGAUAUCACCAGUUGAGGAUCAGACCUGAGGAUGUGUCGAAGACGGCUUUUAGAACACGGUAUGGACAUUAUGAGUUUACUGUUAUGCCGUUUGGGCUUACUAAUGCUCCAGCAGCGUUUAUGGAUCUAAUGAACCGUGUUUUCAAGUCUUAUUUAGACAGGUUUGUCAUGGUGUUCAUCGACGACAUUUUGGUCUAUUCCCAAAGUGAUGCGGAUCACGAGGAACACUUGAGACUUGUUCUUCAAGUACUUCGGGAAAAGAAAUUCUAUGCCAAGUUGAAAAAGUGUGAAUUUUGGCUUAGAGAGGUGGCGUUUUUGCGCCAUUUGAUUUCUGGAUCAGGCAUAGCCGUGGACCCGAGAAAAGUUGAAGCUAUCAAGGAUUGGCCAAGGCCGACGAGUGUCACGGAGAUUCGUAGCUUCAUUGGUUUGGCCGGCUACUACCGACGGUUUGUUUAGAGAUUUGCAAGGUUACUCCCCUCACGAGGCUCACGCAUAAAGGAACGAAGUUUAUUUGGAGUGAUGCGUGUGAAAGAAGCUUCCAAGAGUUGAAGCAGAGAUUGACGACUGCCCCGAUCCUUACCUUGCCGACUGCUGGAGCAGGGUAUGUGAUUUAUAGUGAUGCUUCUUUUAACGGAUUGUGCUGUGUUUUGAUGCAGGACGGAAAAGUGAUCGCUUAUGCAUCUCGCCAAUUGAAGGAUUAUGAAAGGAACUAUCCUACCCAUGACUUGGAGUUGGCGGCCGUAGUCUUUGCUUUGAAGCUAUGGCACCACUAUCUUUAUGGCGAGCGAUGCGAAGUAUAUACGGAUCACAAGAGAUUAAAGUAUCUAUUCAGUCAGAAGGAGUUGAACUUGAGGCAGCGUAGAUGGUUGGAGCUACUCAAGGAUUAUGAUUUGACGAUACUUUACCACCCGGGUAAGGCUAACGUGGUGGCUGAUGCGCUAAGUAGGAAAUCGACGGAAAACUUAGCGAUGCUUGUGGUUACUCAACCGCCGUUGAUUGAGCAGAUGAAGCGGUUGGAGUUGGAGGUGGUGGCUCCUCAUACACCUUUAAGACUGAUGACUUUGGUGGUGCAACCUACACUUUUGGAAAAGAUUAAAGAAAAGUAAGCUUCCGACUCGGAGUUGCAAAAGAUUCGAGCUAAGAUGGUUGAUGGUUGCACCGGUGACUUCACUUUAGACGGUGAUGGAUUGAUGCGUUUCCGCGGACGACUUUGUGUACCGGCGGACUUGGGCAUUAAAGAGGACAUUCUUCAAGAAGCACACCGAGCACCGUAUGCUAUACAUCCGGGAGGAACCAAGAUGUACAAGGACUUGAAGUUGCUUUAUUGGUGGCCCGAGAUAAAAAAGGAUGUUCGUGAGUUUGUGGCUAGAUGUUUAAUUUGCCAACAGGUGAAGGCUGAGCACCGAGUUCCUGAGGGGAAGUUGCAGAGCCUACCGAUUCCAGUGUGGAAAUGGAAAAAGAUCACCAUGGACUUCGUGAUGGGAUUGCCUCGCUCACAGGCCGGGCAUGACGCUAUUUGGGUGAUUGUGGAUAGAUUGACGAAAUCGGCACAUUUCAUACCUAUCCACACUACUUGGACUGGUGAGAGACUCGCACAGGUAUACUUGGAUGAGAUUGUGCGAUUGCACGGGGUACCUACUUCUAUCGUUUCAGAUCGAGAUCCCCGUUUUGUAUCCCACUUUUGGAGGAGCUUACAGGACGCUCUGGGUACGCGUUUGGACUUCAGCACAGCUUUCCACCCUCAGAGUGACGGGCAGUCGGAGCGUACUAUACAGACUCUCGAGGACAUGCUUCGAGCCUGCGUGAUUGACUUCCAGGGAGGAUGGUCGCAGCAUCUACCGAUGGCAGAGUUUGCUUAUAACAACAGUUAUCAAGCAAGCAUCAAGAUGGCACCGUUCGAGGCACUCUAUGGACGGAAGUGUAGAUCGCCACUUCAUUGGAGUGAAGUUGGCGAGAGAUUGGCUUUAGGCCCUGAUGUGCUCCAGGAAGCAGAGGACAAGGUUCGCAUUGCUCGGGACCGACUGUUGACAGCCCAGAGUAGGCAGAGGAGCUAUGCUGACAGGCGGCGACGAGACUUGGAGUUUCAGAUUGGAGAUCACGUCUUCUUAAAAGUCUCGCCGACUCGGGGGAUUAGACGAUUUGGAAUCCGGGGCAAGUUGAGCCCCCGAUACAUUGGACCAUAUGAGGUUUUAGAGCAUGUAGGCCCGGUAGCGUAUCGACUCGCUCUACCGCCAAACCUAUCGGGUGUACACAAUGUGUUCCAUGUAUCGGUCCUUCGGAAGUACAUCCACGGCCCGCCUCACGUGUUGGAUGCUACACCUUUGGAGCUGCAGGAUGACUUGAGCUUUGAGGAGCAACCUUCGAGGAUUUUGGCUCGCGAGGUGAAAAGAUUGCGGAACAGGGAAAUCCCCUACGUGAAGGUGCUUUGGAGUAACCACGACGAGCGCGAGGCCACUUGGGAGUUGGAGAGCGCGCUGCGGGAGCGCUAUCCCCAUUUUUUUCAGAUGGAGGCUUGAGGUACUUGUCAUUUUGAGUUUCGCGGAUGAAACUCCUUUUUAGGAGGGGUGAAUGUAACACACUGGACCUUUGCGAAUUGCGAGGUUCGAGUGAUUGGAUGUGUUUCGAGCUUUUCCACACUUGGUGGAGGGUCGUAGAAUGUUUUCCGACCUAAGGAGUUCGAAAAUUAGAAUUCUGGACAAGUCCUGAGAGUUUUUACUCUCGGGGACCGGUCCCUGGAAAGAGAGACCGGUCCCCCAGUGAGCAGUGUUGUGGCAGCCCUGAGGCAACCGGUCCCUGGCAGGCGAGACCGGUCCCCGAGCGCGUCUUCGCAUGAGAGACCGGUCCCGCGCGGGGAGAGACUGGUUCCCGAACGUUGGUUUUUCGGGUUCGCAGCGAGAGACCGGUCCCUGUUGGGGAGAGACCGGUCCCUCUGGGUGAAAAAUGCCCAGACCAGGCUGAUGCAAUAUCUUUUUUUUAGGGGCCUCACUGGAUUUUGUUACACUAGAUGGGCUUAUUAGCCAUUUCCCCCUCUUCCCUCUCUCAUUUUUUUAUUCUCACCCUCUCCCUACACCUUCUAGAGAGAGAAGAAGAAGAAGAAUGAGGAGAAGAAGAAGAGGAGUUUGUUUGAGGGAGCUUGGAGCUCAACCCCUUCCUCCCCUUUCCACCUUUGCAAGGCUUAGAGCUUGCUUGUAGAGCUUGGUGGUGGACCAAUCUUCAAUCCUAGAAGAUUUGGAGCUUGUUUGGAGGUAUCUUGGGAGGUUAGUACUUGGAUUCUAAGCCCCCUUUCGAUCCUUGUUUUAAGUGACAUUUACCUUUUAGAACCUAAAGAAUGAAAAUUCAGGGUUGAUUUGCAUUUUUUGAAUUCUAGAGCUUCUUGGCUAAAUUAUUGGAUUAGAACUUUCCAGUAUGGUUGCAAUUGGAGGCUAGCUCUCUUUUGGAGCUUUGGCAAAGAUUUUACUUCAUCCUUGAGGUCAAGUUUGGCCCUUUUUUCGCUCUAGUAAUGUUUAAUCUUAUAUUGAUCGUAAUGCCGUGUAUCUCUCCGCUCAAUUACUUUUAGGAGUAUUUGAGACCGAUGGACAACUUCCGUUCGCGAAAUCGAAGAGCCCGCACGGUUCGCCUGGUUUGACCUACCCACACAAUGCAAAAUCUCCAUUGGAUCGAAAUUAAGUAUCGUUAAUGUGAAAAUAAUGCAUAUUCUUGUAUAGUAUUAUUGUGAAUUUUGAAUGUAAAUGCCAAUAUGCAUCAUAGUAAAUUUUGACCUCUAUGUAUAAGAGUUGCUUGAGAGAGCUUUGGUUGACAUUGGCAUUCUAACGAGACUAUGUUCCAAAUACUUCUAUACGUAAAUGACCUUGAUUAGAUCGCAUUUAAACUAACUUAUUACAUAUGACAUGAAAGAUACAAAUUAGCCACUAUCGAGGUCACUUGAACUAGAAAUCGUAUGCGAAUCAGCAGAGCUAAUGUCAUCAGAAGCAUCAGCUCGGCUACAAUUUGAACACUAAGUCGCCUCUAAGCCACUUCGCGCGACUCAUUCUCUAUGUUGCCAACAUACCCAUUGCCCUAAGUUCAUCAACCAGCACAGCCUAGUGAUGUUUCGGAACUCUCGCUUCGUGACUUAACAACUAUAAUUCCGGGAUCAGGAACAUACAUGUAGCAGACCCAUGAGAUUGGAUACUUGAUACUUGGAUCUUUGCUUGCCAUUUGUCUCAUUCGAUCACAUACUUGUGAGGUCGCUCCCUACAAGCCGCACGUCUUGGAGCUAGCCUACGCGACUUAUGUUCCGUCGUAGCGUAAUUGAAAGCCUACGGUGACUCGGGACACGCCAUUCGAUCAAGAGUAGGAUUUUGAUGCACACACACUGGCCACUUAGGCGGCACAAGCUGGACUACUUUUGGUAGGUCCUUAAUUGGAAAUGGAAAUCCACACAGAGUUGGGAAUGAAUGAUCACUACUAGAUAGGUUUAGUAGUUGGAUUACUUCACGUGCUCAUGACAUAGCAUUGGGAUAUAUAGUAUACUUGCCUGUUUCAUUCGUUGCUUCAUAGUAUACUGGGUUACUUCGCUAGAGCUUACUCCUUAUGCAUUGACAUAUUGCAUCGUGAGGUUUACUUGUUUAAUUAUGUUGAGGCACAUUAGUAUGCAAUGGACAUAUUAUUCUUAUGAUAACGUAGAUGUACAUCACCACGACAUCAUGCUUAUUUGACAUAUAGUAGUAUAGCAUUUCAUAUAUGCUUUCUUUCAGCAAUUCCUGUACUCGCUCUGAUAUCGUUAGUUGCUAUUUAUUCUAUUUGUUCUAUUUCUUACUUUAUUUCCGCUUUUAUUGUAGACGCCUUAUAUGUGUAGGUAUAUGGCGGGUCUGGGUACGCUACCGGGAGGGCCUCCGCCGGUCCAGGGGCGUGACAGGACCGGUCCCGGCCUACGACACCAGUGAGAAGAGCCGAAAAUUGGCUAAGUCCUACAAGAUGAGCUCUCGGGGACCGGUCUCUGGUGAGCAGACCGGUCUCCCGAGGACCGGUCUCUCAGGGAGAGACCGGCUCCCGAACGCGUGUCCGCGGGGGGAGGCCCUGGGGACCGGUCCUUGGUCGGGGAGACCGGUCCCUCAGCACGCAGAACGCCCAGUAAGGGCUGUGUAAGAGAUGAAAAGUUGAGGGGCUUCUUAGCAUUUUGUUACAAAAUGAGAGAGGGUAUUAGAGAGAGAUCUUUUCCUCUCUCUCUCUCUCACUCCCUCAGCCUCUCCCUCUUCCUCUGAUCGUGCGAAGGGGGAAAAGAAGAAAAGAGAAAGAAAAGAGAAAAGAGAAGAGAAGAAGAAAAGAGAAAGAAAAGGAAAAGAAGAAGAGGACCAAGGAGGAGAUCCUCUUCCUCAUCUUCAUCUUCAUCUUAUUCUCUCCAUGGAGCUCUUAGAGAGGUAAGCUUCCAAGCCCUCUUAUGGUAGAUCUUUGUAGAUGGGUUUUAAACCCUAGAAAUGGUUUGUUUGGUACCCUAGCAUACUAUUUUGAUGGAUUAUACCCAAAUUAUAGAUCGAUUUGGUGGAUUUGUUAGUGAUGGCAUUCUAGGGCAUCAAAAUGGGGUUUUUGUAAAUAGAUGAGUUUGAUCUCAUUUGACCCUUCGUAAACCUAAUUGGUAGGUAACGAAACUCGUUGGCGAAGUCGGUUCGGCAAUACGACAAGCCGUUGGAAAGAUAUUGAAGAAACGGACGCUCAGAGCUUCGUUUCCGCCUGGGAGGCCGAGGCGAUAUCCAUAAAUUGUGAAAUAGGGUCCCGAGCAUAGUAGCGGCAAGGCGAAGAUCGCUAGCACUUGAAACGGCGAAGCGGUGUGCUCGUGGGGAGCAACUGUGAGAUCGGGCCCGAGCGGGUGCCGAGUGCCGCGGGAGGCCGAUUGCAAGUGUCGACGAGCAAUCGAAAAAGCUAACUAAGGUGGGUUGUGCUUACCGAAGCGACUAGGUCGCCCUUUAUGUCUUAGCAAUGUAUCUCCAUGUUGAUGCAUGUGCAUGUAGACAAGGACAAGAAAUGCAUGAUGAAUGAUAAUGCAUAAAGUAAAGGCUAAGUAAAGAACGCAUAAUAAGUAGCAAGCAUGAGAGCAUGACAUGUAAAUGAUGCUAGCUAAUGUAAAGAAUGCAUACUAAUAGUAAUGCAUAGAUAGAAAUGCUAAAUAGAAUGCAUGAUGAACAAAGAUGCAUAGAGUAAAUGCCAAGUAGAAAGCAUGAGUUAAUAACUCUAGUGUGAGUAGAGUUGAUUGGACAACUAGGUUGUCAGGUAGAUCGAGUGGCAUCUAACUUAGUGUUAAAGAACCCAGGUUAAACAAGUGAACCUAGAGUCGAACAAUCUAGGUGUGUGGCAUCGAACAUAGUGUUUGUAAACCUAGGUCGAACUAGUAAACCUAGAAGUGGACAUCUAGGCAAAGAUGACAAGAACCUAGCAAGUGUAUCUAGGUUAAGUGACGUGGACAUAGAACCUAGAGUAUUGGAACCUAGGUUGAUGAGUAUAGUGGUAUAGCCACUAGGAUGAGAUAGGUCGAAAGUAUAGGGUUGGCUAUGGACCCUCGACCUGUGGAAAGUGGAUUCCGGAAUCCCAUGACUUGUGAUGACCCUGGUAGAAGCUAGGGCGUUUGUGCGACGACUUCGCCGCCGAGCUUGGUAUCGAGGGAGGAUUGGGGGUGAUCACAUAGAGAUCACCGCCGGGGCUUGAACCAUUGCCGUGGCGUUUGUGCGACGAUUUCGCCGCUAGGAUGGUUAAGCCAUUUGAGGAUCAGACCGCCAGAGCAGACUGAAUCCAUGCUGGGUAAGUACGAUGCGGGUGCCUCCAGGUGGCCGAGUCUGACAUGUACCGUUGUUGGGUGUGGUGCGAUCCGUUUGCCGCCAGACGGUGUGUCAGGACUCAAGCUCAUGCUGGGUAAGUGCAACGCGAUCGCCACCGGAUGGUCAAGUCGUGCGACUUGAGCCGAGCUUAGCGUGUGCGACGACUUCGCCGCUAGGGGACUGAGACAGAGAGGGCGGUAGGCUGAUGAGCAGCUAGUGCGCGGGCUAUCCGCGGAUGAUUGACUGGGAGCCGAGUCAUGUGGUUAGCUGUGAUAGGGUAGAAGAACCCUUAUGAGCUAGAGGUAGAGGCUUGAGCUAAGGUAAUAGAGACCUUAGAAGCCAGUGGACUGAGUUGAGAUCCUAAGGUAAUAGAGACCUUAGAGUAAAGUUGUAAGCUAAGAGUAGCUAAGUAAAGUGUAGAUCAAAUGAUCUACUAGAUGUUGCAUAGAGUUGCAUGGUUUUCAUAUCACAUAUUGUGAGGCAUGGCAUGUAUUUCAAUUGAAUAUAUAUAUAUAUAUAUAUAUCCGUUGUAUAUUGUUGAACUAACAUGUUGGAGUGCCUCCUCGGACCUAUCGGUCGAGCUUUUCCCUUAGGUGGCCGUACCUACUGGGAACCAUAGAGUUGGUUCUCACCCACGUUGUUUUGGGGUUUUCAGGUCAUUCGUGUGCAGCGCGGUGGCGCGAGGCGAGGGCGUAGCUCAGUAGAUAGCGCCCCACCACAGAGACUGAGGUAGCAGUACCCUGAGACAGUCUAGCUUAGGGGUCUAGAAGACAAGAAAAGAAAAUGUAUCAAACUUGUAAACUCUGAUGUAAUAGUGAGAUUGUAAUUUGGAAGUAAAAAUGUAAACGGAAACUGUGAUGUAAAAAGUGGUUGUAAAAAGGAAUGCCUGCAAUAGCUAUGUAACACACUGGACCUUUGCAAAUUGCGAGGCUCGAGUGCUUGGAUGUAUUUCGAGCUUUUCCACACUUGGUGGAGGGUUGUAGAAUGUUUUUCGACCUAAAAAGUUCGAAAACUGGAAUUCUGGACAAGUCCUGAGAGUUUUUACUCUAGGGGACCGGUCCUUGGAAGGAGAGACCGGUCCCCCAGUGAGCAGUGUUGUGGCAGCCCUGAGGCAACUGGUCCCUGGCAGGCGAGACCGGUCCCCGAGCGCGUCUUCGCAGUGAGAGACCGGUCCCGCGCAGGGAGAGACCGGUUCUCGAACGUUGGUUUUCGGGUUCACAACGAGAGACCGGUCCUUGCUGGGGAGAGACCGGUCCCGCUGGGCGAAAACUGCCCAGACCGGGCUGUUGCAAUUUUGAGUUUUUAAGGGGCCUCUCCGGAUUUUGUUACACUAGAUGGGCUUUUUAGCCAUUUCCCUCUCUUCCCUCCUCAUUUCUCACCCUCACCCUACACCUUCUAGAGAGAGAAGAAGAAGAAGGAGGAGAAAAAGAAGAGGAGCUUGCUUGAGGGAGCUUGGAGCUCAACCCCCUUCUCUCCUUUCCACCCUUGCAAGGCUUAGAGCUUGCUUGUAGAGCUUGGUGGUGGACCAAUCUUCAACCCUAGAAGAUUUGGAGCUUGUUUGGAGGCAUCUUGGGAGGUUAGUACUUGAAUUAUACCCUUUGAUCCUUAAUUUGGUAGGUUUUACCAUAUGGAACCCUAGAAUGGAUAUUAGGGUUGAUUUUGGGGCUUUUUGAUUUAGGGCUUUUGAGGCUAGAUUGUUUGGAUUAGAACCUUCCUUGGGCUUGGAUUGGAAGGGAUUUAGCUCUCUUUUGGAGCUUGAGAGAGAUUUCCUACACAUUAGGUGAGUUUUAGCCCUUUUGCUAAGUUUGUUAAAGUUUGAUCUUAUAGUUGAUUGUAAUGCUUGUGUAUCUCUUCGCUCAAUACUUUUAGGGUAUUUUGAGACUCGCGGACAACUUCGUUCGGCGAAACGAGGCACUACGCGACGGUUCGGUGGGUUUGACCUAGCCACACAAUGAGAAAAUCUCAUUUGUGUUGAUUUGAGUACUGUUAAAUGUUUAUUCAUGCAUUUCCAUACUUGAUAUAUUUAUUAUGACUUUUAGAAGGCUUAAAUUGCCUACGUGACAUGUGGUGAAAAUUUCGGACCUCUAUGUAGUAGAGAGCUAGCAUGUGGAACGUGAACAGGUUUAGCAUCCUAUUGAGACUUGGAAUCAUAAUUCCUAUGGUGAAAAUGAGCAUCUCAAGCAUGCAUUUAAAGUUAUUUCUAUUU
rnacentral:lncRNA from 1 species